AAGACUCUAGUAAAACAGACAUUACAUUGCUUUGUCAAGGCAAAAUUGUGGGUUAGGACCCCCGCGUGUCUUA
rnacentral:tRNA from 1 species